CGGGGUGAGUAACGCGUGAGGAACCUGCCUCAGAGAGGGGGAUAACACACCGAAAGGUGUGCUAAUACCGCAUAACAUAUGAGAGGGGCAUCCCUUUCAUAUCAAAGAUUUAUUGCUCUGAGAUGGCCUCGCGUCCAAUUAGCUAGUUGGUGAGGUAACGGCCCACCAAGGCGACGAUUGGUAGCCGGACUGAGAGGUUGAACGGCCACAUUGGGACUGAGACACGGCCCAGACUCCUACGGAAGGCAGCAG
rnacentral:rRNA from 1 species